UGGGGAAUAUUGCACGAUGGGCGCAAGCCUGAUGCAGCCAUGCCGCGUGUAUGAAGAAGGCCUUCGGGUUGUAAAGUACUUUCAGCGAGGAGGAAGGCGGUAAGGUUAAUAACCUUAUCGAUUGACGUUACUCGCAGAAGAAGCACCGGCUAACUCCGUGCCAGCAGCCGCGGUAAUACGGAGGGUGCAAGCGUUAAUAGGAAUUACUGGGCGUAAAGCGCACGCAGGCGGUCUGUCAAGUCGGAUGUGAAAUCCCCGGGCUCAACCUGGGAACUGCAUUCGAAACUGGCAGGCUAGAGUCUUGUAGAGGGGGGUAGAAUUCCAGGUGUAGCGGUGAAAUGCGUAGAGAUCCGGAGGAAUACCGGUGGCGAAGGCGGCCCCCUGGACAAAGACUGACGCUCAGGUGCGAAAGCGUGGGGAGCAAACA
rnacentral:rRNA from 1 species